CCAAGAGGAAAAUGGAGGCAUCUUCAGUGUGGGCUGAACCUUUCUUCUCAGUAGCACUUUAAGGAAUUGAAUGUAAACAACUUAACUGGGAAAGGUUGUGGUGAGGGUAAGAGAAACUGAGUUUCUGUGGAUUGUGGACCGGUUGAUGGGCAGGAAAAGAUUUCCUUCCCUGAAGACUGUUUAUUACUAAUAUAUAUUGACAGCAAGGAACCUUCCUCAUUCUCUCUAAAACCCAUCCAGUUCUGGAACCUCUGCGACAUGGUUCAUUUUCCUUCACGCUUCUCUUGAUCCAUACCAUCUGAUACUACAUCUGCUGAUCUCAACCUGAUACAUUUUAUAAGCUACCAGGUUCCAGAUGCCACCAUGAUGUCAGCCAGACUUCCCAGGGCAGACGACCCUACCAUGUGUCCUGGAGCCCUGCUUCCCAGGAGUUCUGACCCACUAGGGAAAGAGAGAGACAGGCUGGGAGUAUGGAUCGACCUGUCAAUGCCCAUGUUCAGCGGGGAAGCAAUUACAGAAGCCAGACCUUCCACCUUCUGCACCUCAUAAUGACUCUGGGUCCAUUCUCCUAGAGGGUUAAGGAAUAGGAAAGGAAGGGAUGUCAGGGAAGGGGAUGGGAGAAGAAGUUCUAGU